CCUGGUGCUAUUAGCGCGGUGGAACCACUCCGAUCCCUUCUCGAACUCGGUCGUGAAACGCUGCAGCGGCGAAGAUACUUUAGGGGUAGCCCUACGGGAAAAUAGCUCGGUGCCAGGU
rnacentral:rRNA from 1 species